GGGAAGGGAACUGAGAAGAAAAAGAAUCAGCAGGCCAUGAAGGGAAUAGGACCCAGGCUUGAGAGCUGCAGAAGAGAAAGCAACAAUCGUGGAAGCGUCUGGAAAGAGCAGCCCCAGGACUGCCCCCGUUGGGUCUAAGGGUCUCUUCACCAGAGACAGAGGCCAAGAAACUGGCUCCUGGCCCCGCAGGGAACCCACCCAGAUUAGGGCUUCAACUCGGUAAAAGGUGACCCUCCUGCAAUAUGUGGAUGACCUUUUAAUCACAGCCGAGACUGAGGAAGACUGUCUCAGGGGCAUAAAGCAGCUGCUGAUAGAACUGAGCAAAUUGGGUCAUCGAGUCUCACCCAAGAAAGCCCAAACCUGUCAAUGUAAGGUGAGCUACCUAGGGUACCUGUUGGAGGAUGGGAGGCACUGGUUAUGAGAGGCCAAGAAAGGAAUCAUUUUUCUUUCCCUGACCCAAAGACCCUCAAACAAGUGCAAGAAAGGCUGGAUGACCCUUUUUCUGGGGCGAGGGAGAACUCCAGACAUUUGAUGCCAUUAAGAGGGCUCUUUUGGAAGCACCUGUGCUAGGACUGCCUGACGUCAGCAAGUCCUUUCAUCUCUUUGUGGCUGAGAACCUCCAAGACCUGACACGCGAGAACUAGCCUCCUUCUCCUAUGCUUGUCAAAGCUGGCUUCAUUAACAGACAGAUCUUCCCAGCAGUGCAGUGGUGAUAAAAGCUCACUGGAUACAACAAGCCCAGGACAGAGGUCAUCAUGGUUACCACCACUGCUAGGAGAAUCCACUUUGCUAUGGGCACAGCCCUUAACACCAAAAAGGGGAACAUUGAGAACCCCUGGGAGGGUGUAAUUGUUACCCAUAGACUGUACCUAUGGCUUUUAAACGACCUCGCCUCCCUCCUUGGAAAAAUCUUGAACAGUACGCUGAGUCUGAUCUGAAAGUCAUUUCACUCUACCAAAUGUGCAUAGUAUCCUGCCUAGUUACCUCUGUGCAAAUUCUGCCCCAAUUGUUUACAAGGUUACUCUCUGUUAGAGUCUGCUUAAGUCUCUCCUUGAAGUGGGAUGACCCUGACUUGUUGGAAUGAUUAAACUCUUCUUGCUUUUGCAU